rnacentral:pre_miRNA from 1 species
UCUUAUGAAUGAACGAAGAAAGUAGUUUUUUGAGGUGGAAUCUACUCAUGGCUAAGAUGCUAUGAA